rnacentral:ncRNA from 1 species
GAGGGUUGUUGGCCCCUCGCAGUCGGCAAGCAGAUGCAGGCUGCAAAGUGCCUUCAGCUGGGGAGGCCAAAAGCGUAUUGAGCGUGGAGGAAAAGGCGUGGCACGAACCGCGUCCGGU